GCUGCCCUGGUGUAGUUGGUUGUGCGUCAGCUCUAGUCUCGAUGGUUUCCAGUUCGCUAAUAACGAUGAUAGAUCACGUCAGUCUAACACACUGAAGGUCGCCGGUUCAAGUCCGGCGGGCAGUA
rnacentral:tRNA from 1 species